GACAGAGGGUGCAAACGUUGUUCGGAAUUACUGGGCGUAAAGCGUGUGUAGGCGGCUAGGUAAGUCGGAUGUGAAAGCCCUGGGGCUCAACCCAGGAAGUGCACUCGAUACUGCUUAGCUAGAGUACCGGGAGAGGUUGGUAGAAUUCUCGGUGUAGAGGUGAAAUUCGUAGAUAGCGAGAGGAAUACCGGGUGGCGGAAGGCGGCCAACUGGACGAGUACUGACGCUGAGACACGAAAGCGUGGGGAGCAA
rnacentral:rRNA from 1 species